CAGACUUUGGAUUGGCUAACUCAAGCAGCUUGGGUGAGCUUCGUCAAAACAAAUAGCCUUUGAUUCCUCACCUUCUCUACUCCUUCUACCUGGCUUCACUUCAGCUGGCAUCUUUUUUGUUCAGUUUUUAGAGUUUUGAUGUUCGUUUAUCAGCCACUCUUCAUGUUACCCAUUGGUUUCUUCCUGGCUUUUGUCUUCUUAAAGACUCAAUGGUUCUGUGCUGGCUUGUCGGGGACGAGCAUUUGGUUCGUAUAAUUAGGUCGUUGUUUCAGCUCAAUCCUUUUCCUCAUCAAGUCCAUGUUCUUUGUGAUGGAUUUUUUGUUUCUUAAUCCUGAAUUAACCCUUCUCUUACGUUAGACGUCCUUGAUGCUUUAGACACUGUGUGCUGUUUAUAUGCUGGCUAGGAACUGUGUUUGUUGUAUCUAUGUUGUCUGUGUAUGGUGGUCAAUCCAAUGCUCUCAUGAUGCCAUGUUGGAUUGGUUCUUACGAUCUCUUUUUAAUGUCCUUUGAUGCAUUCAUCUUAGCCCACGUACAAAUUAUUUUUGUAUGAUGAUUUACAUAGUGAAACUCAGUGAGAUGUGCAGGGUGGGCUGAACUCAGUUUCAUAUAUUGAUUAUUAGCUGAUUGUAGUAUAAUCAGCUAAUUAGAUGAUGAUCCUCAUAAAGUUGUCGGAUAAAGAAUGUUUGGGUGUUUUUUGGUUUUAAUUUUCCAAGGAGAAGUCCAUUUUGGAUUGUCUUUUUAUGACAAUAUAGGUUGAACUAUCACCGUUUUUGCUUCUCCUUCAUUGUAUCAGUGACUUAAACCUGGAUACACUGAUUUAGAUUGUCCCUUAUAGCUAAACCUACCCCAUGGGGGAACUGGGUUGGCACUGUUUUCUUGCUAAAGUUAAAUUGAUUCUCAUGUUCUUUUUCUUUUUUGCCUCUGUUUAUAGUGACCCUAUAAAGGUCUAGGUCAGAUUUUUUUUUCCUUUUCCAUUAACCAAAAAAGAAAAACACACUCUUUGGUUUUCUUGCGUCUACUCAGCAAGAAAAAUAGCUUGAGCCUCAACAUUUCCUGAUGGAGAGAACUGAAACUGAUCUUGCUUUUCGCAUAAGGUUCUUUUGUCUGUUGUUUUUUAAGGAGUUUGCUGUCAAGUGUUGCUUUUUCUUGGUUGCUGCCAAAUCUUGCUGCCUUUUGGUAGGUUUUGGUUGCUGCCAAUCUUCCCAUGACUCCCAUUAAAAAUAUUUUUGACUUUUCAUUAGCACCUUUUUUUUUUCUCAACCAACUAUACAUAUGUUGUGAUUGGCCAAGGAUCCAUCACUUCCUUAACCUAAAUACACAUAAUAAUGGAUGCACAACUUAGUCUUUCUCCUAAUCUUCUGCUGCUUCCAGGUGACAGCUUCAGUUUAGAGCUUGGAGACAGCACACCAAUUGCAUCGUUCUUGGAUGAUGAGGCUGGAUCGUCAAACCAUGAUGGUUCGCCCCCUACAAAAAAAGGCACGCACAGCACAGCAAAUGUUGAGGCUCAAGCUAUUUUUCUUGCUGAGUAGACUGUCUAUAUUAUGGAUUUUCUUUUGCUGUUUUUAUUAAACCAUGUUGUAUAUCCCACUGUCGAGGGCUUGGGUUUUAUGCAAAGGAAUCGCACCACUGCCUUUGCCUGGCAAUUUUUCGAUAUUCGAGUUUGUACAUGGUCUUUUAGAAGUCAUCUACCACAGGUUUAGUCAUAUAGAUACAAAUGCCAACCCGCGGCGGAGCGCCGGCACACAUCUA
rnacentral:lncRNA from 1 species